UAGGCUCCAACAGGUACAAUCCUUCUCUUAAUUUAUCAAAAAUUUGUCCUAUCCUUAUUAAAGGGACAUGCAUGAUGCAUGCACAAGAAGUUUGAUUAAGUGAGAAAUAAAACUGAACAUACAACUUAUGGACUGAGAGUAAAUUAUAUUUGAAGGAAGGAACAUAAAAACCCCUUUCAAGGAUCAUUUCAGACUGAAUAGGAAAACUACCUAUAUGUGUGACAUAUAAUUGAAAUGAGUUAGAUAGGCUAAUAUGUACAUGAACAAGAAGUGGAUCUUAAGUUAAGAAAUAACUUGAAUCAAAACACAUGUGUUCAGAAGCCCCUGAAUCAAUGAUCCAGGUUUUUGUGAUAAAAGAUGCCAAACAAGUUCCAGUAUAUUUAAGCAUAAUACAAGCUACUGCAUUUGUAUUGAUGUUCCUGGUGUUGUUGUGUUUCCAAGUAGUGCCUGCUUGAUUAGGUUCAUCAGCUUAGACACCUAUUCAUUACUAAAAAACUAAGUUUGAGGUGUUGCAUUAUUGCUUCGAGUGCUCCCAUAGUCAAUGUCUUGUCCCUCAUUUAUAGCAUUAGCCUUGACUUGUGUUGAUAUGAUGAAUUGGAGAUCAUCUAGAAACACAUUUAGCCUGUAACAGUUGCCUUGACAUGCCCAGUUCUCAAGCAAUCUGUACAACUCACGUUAGGAUUAAAUUUUACUUUCUUUUCCUUAGGUUUCUGUCGUGUGUUGUUAACCUCUGAUGAGUUAGUCAAUGGCUUUUGUUGUGACUGGUUGUUGUUUCUCUAUGGAACCUUACCUUAAAUCCUAACCACGAAUGAGGAAGCAUCAACAUUGAAUUAUGGUCUUGCAUAUAUCUCCCUUUGGUUUUUAUCUUGAAGAAGGAGCGGGUAAGCAAAAUAUAUCCCAGACAAUGAAUUCAUCAUAAGGAUGUUUCCUCUUGCUUGUGACUAGACAUCAUUUAGUCCCAUUAGAAACUGAAUGAUCCUUUUGUCUUCUAAGAACUUGUGACUUUUCUUUUUUCAUCAUAAACAUAGACCAGAUGAGAGUUGAGGAAAUUAAGUUCAUCCUAUAAUUUCUUAAGUGUGAUAAAGUAUCAAGCAGUAUUGUUGUUGUCUUGAACUAACAUUGAUAUUUUCUUUUACAGUUGGUACAUCUUGGAUCCAUUAAUUUCCCCAAAUCUGUUUUCAAGGCUAUUCCACAAAUCUUUUGUAGAUUUUGAAUAGAUGACACUAUCACCUAUCUCUUUGGAUAAAGAGUUCAGAAGCCAAGAAGUCACCAUGAAGUUGCAUCUUGUGCAUAACGUUGGAUCCUCACUGGCACCAUUUAUGAAGCCUAUCUUGUUUUUGGCUCUUAAAGUGCUAUGAGGAUUGAUCUGCUCCAUCCUGUAAAUCCUCUACCAUCAAAAAGUGUGAUAAAAAGAUUCAAACUAGGAGCAUCAGAUGAAUGAAGGAAAUGAGGAUGAUUCACAUCCUGUGAAGUUGUUUGACUGGUUGAACCAGAGGUAAUGGGAGUAGAAGAAGUGGGAAGAACUUCUUCUCUUGCCAUAGUUGAAUACUAUAUUCCGAGAGAAAGGAGAUUUGGAUCGAGAUACUGUUUCUUUGAUACCACGAAAAAAGAAAUAGGAAGAAAUUGUGGAAACUUUUCUCUGCCUUGUAUUGAUAAAUGUAAAGUCCUAUAUAUAC
rnacentral:lncRNA from 1 species